AUAGCAACAUUAGGAGUUGUUCAGUUGUAUUCGCUCAACCAAAACAGAUUUUGAUAUUUAAAACUCAAAGUGCAAAUUCAUUCUCCAUAUAUUUUUCGUUUCCACAGAAAUCAAGUGAAAAUGAAUCUAAUAUUUCUUCUAUAUUUAUUCGUGUGUUUGAUGUCAAUAUUAUCAAGCGAUGCCCAAAAAGCUGAAUCUGACUUGAAUUUCAUUGGAACACAAAUAAUGGAACAGUUUUUCCGUGCAAGAAAUUCUACUUUGUCCACGGACUGCUUGCGUCAACUGAAGAAAAGAAUCGGUGUUGAGUUCGUCGUCGAGAAAGUUUAUCGCAAAAAAUUAAUCAAUAAACAUGAGGGGCUCAAUAGACAAUUGUACAAUGUAAACGAAGCGUUUGCCCGAAAUCCGAAUGGUAUAAAGCAAGACGUUCAGCUGGAAACAUUUUUCGUAACGGAUGCCACUGAAACCUACCGCAUAAACAUAAGCAAGGUUGAAGGGCUUAUGGGUGCCUUUCAAUUUCCAUCCAUACAAAAUCGAAAGAUUUUCGUGGUAUUUGUCGGUUCAAAUGAACUGUAUUACUCUGUCGACAAACCAUUGCGUCUAGCGACACAACAAAUGAAAAUUAAAAUGGAUCCAAUGUCUUUGUGUCGUGUAAAUUUUAAUUACUACACUUUUGAUAGUGUAUGGAACUACGAAGUCGCAUUUGAAAUCAGUAAUACAACAACGAUACAAUUUCCGUACAAUUUGCAAGAGCCAUGUCCAUCGAAACAGUCGCCAAGGCUAUCACUGAAUGUGUGCAGCUUCUUCGCCCAAAAUCUCAACUUCGUCGAAUCAAUUAAUUAUAACAACGAGCAACAAAUACAAUUGGAACAUACAAAUGGAAAGUAUGUUUUGAAAGGCUUCCCAUUGAUUGAACAAUUAUCGAGUGCCGAAGUUGGGACAGUUAUUUCGGACAAGGACGACCUUUGAUAUUUUCCAUCGAAUUCCGUGAAUGAAACAAUGUAAACAGUUUACAACAUCAGCAUAUUUUAGAAUAGAACCCAUGAAGAAAACAUGGGAAAACCCCCGAAGAAUUCGAAAAAAAAAUCUAUUAACACACCUAAAAAACACCUAAAAAUUGGAAUCAUGUUUAUGUUUACUCUGAAUAUAUAUUGCACACCAGACAUAAACAAUUGUUAUCAUGUUUAGCUCAAAUAUUUGCUGGGCUAUCAUGACUUAACCUCUGCCUGAAUCAUCAACAACAAAAACAGUUCCGCGUGAAUCAAAACAAGAAAAUAUGUAUAUUGACCGAUUGCAAACUCUUCCAAUUCCAUUAUAUUUCAAUCACUCAAUAACAGAAUGUAACAUUUGUGAUUUAAACUCGUUUGACUGCACACUUUUCUCGUGUAAUUAAAAUCGACCAGUCGCUACAUGUUGUUGAUUUACAGUACACAGUUCAUAUUUUUAGCUAGUUUAGCAUUUUAUUACAGUUUUGAAAAAAAAAAAUCCGAUUAGCAUAAUGUUACCGCACACACCUUUCGUUUUUGUCGUUUUAAUCGCCGUUUUUGGGACACAUUUUUGCGCUGAGAUUGGCAUUUUUACGUGUAAAUUCCAUGGGAAGGUCUACGGUGAAUUGGAUGUGUUUGAUUCGGGUGUAAAUGGCUGUUCCAAGUGUAUAUGUGUGGAAACUCGAGUUUAUUGUAACACAACACGAUGCCCAGGAAGAUCGACCGAGCCACCUACACUGAUGCCAACUUUUCUGACCCAUCCAACUAAUCUACCGAUCGAAACUAAUUCUGAAGUUGACGACAUGAAUGUAAACGAUCCAAAACAAGAAGUUGAAGAAGUGAAUGUAAUAAGUACAGAAGAAAUUGCUUAUCGGCCGUAUCAAUUUGGGUCUGGGCCCGUUUAUCAAAAUCGUGCCCAUGUUAACAUCCAUCAAUUCGGUAGUGGAGUUGAUAAACAAAAACAGAUUCAGUGUCCGAAUGGAAUGUGCUAAGAUAAUUAGUUUUUACAACAACAACAAAAAAACAGAUGCAUAGACUAAUUGAAAAAUAUUUACCAAACAAAAUCUAAACACAGAGAUCAGGGUCAGGUGAAGUAUACAAGAAAUGUAAACACAUUUUUAUCAAUAAUGUAAUAGCUAUGGGAAACAGCAGUUGAGAAUAAAACUUGAGCCAGUAAAAUCCAUUGAACUAAGAGAUAAAAUAAAAUCAGAAUCUCCGCAAUUCGAAAGUGUAUUCAUUAAUGGUAUUAAAAUGGAAAGUGGCCGUAAGUGAUGAACAUGAACACUUCGUUCAUUUAGUUUGAAAGUUGAGUAAUGCGUUCAUUUUUAGCAGACGAUAAAUUUUCGAGUCACAAAAUGGAUUACUUGACUUUGAUUUCCACUAUAUAGUGAUUGUUUUUAGCACAAAGCCUUUGAUUUUAUAUUGAUGGGAAUGGAGCUGGGUGGGGUAAGAUUUUUCAAUUGAAGCGACAUGAAUUUAUUGAAGUGUUGUCACAUCAUAAAAUUGGAUGGGACUGAGUGGAGUGCGUCGCUUGGACUUGGAUGUGGUAAGGUGAGCUGGGUGAAGGUGAACCGAAACAUCAAUAAUACCGAGUGUCGAUAUCAAAUGCGACGAUUUUCCCCAUCCACUUUUCAAAGUCUGGCGUUAGAUCAAAGACGUAUGGGUUUACAUGAAGUCAUGGCAACUUUUUUUCUCUUUUCUAAGCCAAACAUAAUCUAGAAACCGUGAGCGUGCCGAUGACGACAACGCCGCCGCCAUUGACAGCCAAACAAAAACUCGUCGAUAUCAUCCGCCGUUUUUUUUUCGGUGUAAACAUCUCGAUUUCAUCACUUCGGAUGGAUCGACUCGGUGAUGGUGUCGCGCCGUGAGACGAUAUGUGCAUGUUUUUGUUCAACAUUAAUCGGAUACGCGAGCCACAUUUCCGAUGCAUUUGAAAAAAAGAACCAAUAUUUUGUUCGCUUUUACUAAAUACACACACUUUUCAAUUGAAUGCGUUGCCACCGCAUCACAGUCGCAAUAAAUAAAUAAAUCGUUCAUUUGUGUGAUGUACACAACCACACUAUCGAACCA